CUUAUAAAAUCAAGCCGAGUUUCAGGGUACGGGUUAAAGCGGAAAGGACGCCUUUCGAAUCCAUUCACGAACGCACAAAACAAUUCCCCUCCACUCAUCACACCCAGACCCAGGCAAUUGUAACUUCACUUUUUUUAUUAUUUUAUAAGCACGAGGAGGUUCCUCAGAUGAAAAAUAAACAGGGACAACUGAAAUAGAGACCCAGGGCUUGGAGGUGGAGAAAAUUGGGUUUGGUGUGGUAUAAAAGCAAGACAUUGAAGAUCCCAAUCAAAAUAAGCGAAGCCCAUGAUGGGGAAUUCUUUUCUUCACUUCUUUUACCUGCUUAUCAAAGAGUUCGAUAGACAAGCCAAGGAUUUGGAGAGUAGAAUGAUCUAGAUGCUAACAAGAUGCAGAAUGAUAAAAAAAAAAAAGUCAAUGAUCAAAGAGUUGAAUUCAUAUGUUGCACUUAAAAAGCAUUCCUCAAGCGGGAUUUGGUUGGGCUUUGAAAGGCUUGUGCAAUUUGCUACAGGAAUAGAGAAUAUAAGAGGCACAAUCCCUUUCCCUCAAACGCCUGGUUCAGCUGAAUUUUAAUGGUGAAGUUGUGCAUUUUUUUUUUGGUUCUCUUAUUGUAGUCAACCACAGCAUCAUUUUUUUACCUGUCCUGCUCCUAAUCCUUAAGUAAAUUCAAUUUGAAUCACCUUCUCUGUUUAACACUUACGUGCAUCAAAACUUCAAACUAUAUAGGAAGGCUGCCAAAAAAAAGAAUAAAGAAAAAAAAGAAAAAAAGAAGAAGAAGAAGUAGAAGGACCAAUGCUUGGAUUAUCUUCUGGUUAAUGUUGCCUAAUAUGAAAAAUGUUGAUAAUUGUGAAGUGAUCAUAUAUUUAUUUGGAAGUUAUUAUAAUAGAUGCAAAUUAUUAACCUUUAUUCAAAAUAGAAGAGCCUCAGAGUUCAUGCACGUGCUUAGAGACUAGUUUUUUAUAAUUCGAUAGUUGUAACAAUGGGAAGAAGAAAUUCAAACUUUGGUUCUUAUGUGAAGAGUAGAUAACGCAACUGAAUUAUAAAACUCUUGUCAUAUCUUAUGCACUAUAAAUUCCAUGAUGAACAUAUAAUAAGAUUUUUUUUUCUUAACACAAGUGAAUAUGAGCACCCCCAACAUUGGUAAACAUGUUGGAAUUACAUGUUGGAGAUUUGCCUUGAGAAAUAAUGCAAACAAAUACUGCAUACACUGAUAUUCAUGCAAACAUUAACAAAGGAAAUAUUAUGGUAAUUCAUGCAAACAUUGACAAAGGAAAUUACUGUUGGAAUUUUUUUGCCAUUAGACAAAGAUAACCGCAGUAAAUGGCUAUAGCUAUUUGGUCAACAUACAUGCCUCAAAUCCCAUGGAAUAUCAAAUAUGGAUGGCUUUAAAUUCAAAAUGACUACUAAUCAUUCCAUUGAUCAACAGUGUAAUUUUUCAGUGGUACAAAAUCUUCUACGAGAAUAGCAAUUCUUUUCAACAAGCAAAUCCCUUUCUCUGUUUCUCAACUAAAAAACAAGGUGCAUGCCAACUUUUGUGGGAGAAUUUUUUGAAUCGGUGAUUUCACCAUAAAUAUAUCUAAGGAAAAAUGAUAGGACAAUUGUGAUUUUCACUUCUUGAAACUUAAGGGGUUGUUUGGUAAGAGAUUUCUAGUAAUGUUAUUGUUGUUUCAUAAAAAUACGUGUGGGUGGAAAAGUAUAUAGAAAUACAUAUAAUGUUUUUUACAUACUAAAAACUAUUUUUUAAACAAUAGUACCAAACACUCCCUAAAACUCAGGUCGUCCUCAAAAUAUGUUUAAAUUUGUUUGAAUAACAUGGGCAAUAAUAAAGUAUUCUUGGGUUUUGUGAGAUAGGUUGUAAUUGUGUUAAACUGAAUCAAGCUAAUUAAUAAAAUUCUAAGAUCAUUUAAUUUUCUAUCUUAUAUGGAACCCGAGUUGAGUUUGAGUUAAGAUUUAUUUAAUUCUUUAUUAAAUGAUGUAAACCAUUAUUGCUAGUCAAAAAGUUAUGUAAAAUAAAAACUUUUAUAGCUGGUCAAAAAGUAAUAUAAAAUUCACUUAAAAAGUUUACGAAAAGCAAUGUAAAAGAACUUUAUAAUGAAUGGGUCACAAUAUUCAGCAAAAAGAAAAAAAAAACUAGUCACAGAACAAUAUGAUAAGAAGUUGUUUGUCCUCUUUCAUUCUCUAACGAAGGUUUCUAGAAAAUUUCCUACAUGCGCGUGAUUUGCAACUUGCUCCUCAAACGUCAAAAGAAGGGUUGGAAAUUUCCUACACCUUGUCAAGCUUGUUUGUCCUCUCCCUCUCUCUGAGUGUUUGGUGGGGCAAAGAAUUGGAUUAGUUGGAAAUUUCCACAACUACAAUGUUCUCCUCAAAAGUUAUGCUAGUCUACUCUCUCUCAGUCUCUCUUUGAAAUUAACACAACACAAUGUUUGGUGGAUUGAGAUUCUUUGACAUUAGCACUGUUGAUUUAGGGGAAAAAAGAAGAGAUUCAGGUUAGAAAAUUUCACGUAACGUAGCAUCACUCUGCAGUUUGCUCCUCAAAAGUUAUGUCUGUCUUCCCCUCUCUAUCUCUCUCUUUGAAAUUAACACAAUAUUUUUGGAUGUUUUGAAAUUAACACAAUAUUUGUUGUGAGUAAUUGUUCUGUUAGGGUAUAGCUGAAGGAAAAUUGUUGUGUAGACUACUCUGAGCUCUCAUAUGUAGGGAUGACAAUUAAAUCCGACCCGCGGAUACCCGGCCUAACCCGACCCUAAUGGGCCAGAUUUUACUUGGCCCGAUAAAGAAUAGGGUCGGGUAUGGGUUUUUUUUAAAAAAAAAAAAAAAAAAAACCCUAAGCGGGUCCAGGUCGGGUUUGGAUUUUAUCAAAAAAAUCUGAAACCCGACCCAAAACCCGGCCCGAAUAUGACCCGAUUACCCUGAAAUUACAAAAAAACCCCUUAUAUAUAUAUAUAUAUAUAUAUAUAUAUCCCUAAGUCCCUAACCCAUCCACCUCUCAUAAUUUGAUCUCAUUUCACGCCUCAGCCUUACACCCUAACCCUCAAUCUCUUUGUCACUCAUGCAGCCACGCACAAGAGCACGUUUGGGUAAGGAUCGGUGGGUUUUGUCUCUCACUGUUUGGGUCAUUGGAUUAGUUUCUCAGUUCUCACCGUUUGAGAAUUAGUUAUGGAGUGAAAUCAACGGUUCUUCAACUAUGUUUGGAGAUUGUACACUUCAAUCAAUUCUUGAUGAUGGGGAGCCUAAUGAAGAGGAUGGGAGUUGUGUAACAAUUGUGAAGGAUUAGACAUUUUGUAUUAAUUUAGUAGCCUUUUUAAUUUCUUAGACUUGUUGGAUUAAUUUGUUGGUUUGUAAUUAUUCUAAGCCUUUUUAGCCUUUUGUAAUUUCUUAGCCUUUUUAAUUUGUUGGUUUGUGGAGGAUAAUACAUUUUGUAAUUUCUUAGCCUUUUUAAUUUCUUAGACUUGUGGGAUUUAUUUUGUAGCUUUUUAAUUUCUUGAACUUGUUGGACUUGUGAUAUUUAUUUCUUGGACUUAUUGGAUU